rnacentral:pre_miRNA from 1 species
ACAGGAAAAUGACCUAUGAAUUGACAGACAAUAUAGCUGAGUUUGCCUGUCAUUUCUUUAGGCCAAUAUUCUGU